GCCCCCCGAAUUGUGGUCUAGAGAGGCGUUAUCGGCCGCGCCCGCCGCUCAAGUCCCUUGGAACAGGGUGUCGGAGAGGGUGAGAAUCCCGUACCGUGGCGGGUUGCGGCCUUACGAUGCGUCCUCGUCGAGUCGGGUUGCUUGGGAUUGCAGCUUGAAUUGGGUGGUAAAUUCCAUCUAAAGCUAAAUACUGGCGAGAGACCGAUAGCGAACAAGUACCGUGAGGGAAAGAUGCAAAGAACUUUGAAAAGAGAGUCAAAGAGUGCUUGAAAUCGGUAGGAGGAAACCCGGAUGGGCCCGGCUUCGGCGCGCCGACUCAGCCUGGGGUUCUCCCCAGGUGCACUUCUGCGCGCCGGGUCAGCCGCGCCUCGGCGCCGCGCCUCAACCCGGGAGCGGGGCUUUACGGCCAGCUCCCGUCCUGGCGCGGCCCGGG
rnacentral:rRNA from 3 species